rnacentral:rRNA from 1 species
AAGCGACUCUCUGGUCCGUAACUGACGCUGAGGUGCGAAAGCUAGGGGAGCAAACGGGAUUAGAUACCCCGGUAGUCCUAGCCGUAAACGAUGGGCACUCGGUAGAGGGGUUUUGAUUAUCUCUCUGCCUGAGCUAACGCGUUAAGUGCCCCGCCUGGGGAGUACGGCCGCAAGGCUAAAACUCAAAAGAAUUGACGGGGGCUCGCACAAGCGGUGGAGCAUGUGGCUUAAUUCGAUGCAACACGAAGAACCUUACCGGGGCUUGACAUGGUAGAAGUAGGAGCCCGAAAGGGUAACGAACGGUAUCCAGUCCGUCACUAUCACAGGUGUUGCAUGGCUGUCGUCAGCUCGUGUC